GCAACGGACUUGUCCGGAGCCUGAUGCAGCGACGCCGCGUGAGGGAUGACGGCCUUCGGGUUGUAAACCUCUUUCAGUAGGGAAGAAGCCCCUUUUGGGGUGACGGUACUUGCAGAAGAAGCGCCGGCUAACUACGUGCCAGCAAUAACGGUAAUAGCGGUAAUAU
rnacentral:rRNA from 1 species